AACAAGCAAAUCUAGCAGUUGUCUUUCCCUCUGGUACCUCAGCCACUCUAGACUGUGACACAUGGAGGCUCCCAAUGGUCAUGGUUCAAACUAUCCCAAACUAUCCUUGUCUAUCUGAUUCCAUUGGAAGAACUAUAGGACAGAGGGUAAAGUUUAGCUACAGCUAUGCAGGAAGGAGGACUUCUGUUUUCCCACAGUAUGCAGUUGCAGCAGGCAGAAUGAGGUUCCACUAG
rnacentral:lncRNA from 1 species